AAAUAACUUACACAGAACAUUCCCUAUAAGCAUUUCAGUUUAUUUAUUGUAACCAUAAAAUGAUGUUUCCGGAAGGUUUAUUUUAUUUAUUUUUUUUGUAGGUUAUAAUUUCACUACUUAAACAAAUUCAAUUAAAAAUAACAUUUUUAAUUAAGCCUACUUAUUUCUUUUAACUCUGUAUUUGAAAUGAACACCAAAUAAUUCCUCACAAGCUAUGCUAGCAGUCAAUUAACCAUUUUAGCCAGUAAUGAUUCCUCUUGAAGUAUUCGUGUUAGCAAAAUGACAUCUUAAAAUAAACAACAUCUGACAGAUUCAUUAUUCAGUUGUCACCUCUCUUCAAAAACCUCUCUCCUAAGGUAACAUUUGCUCGGCCUGGAGAAUUGAGAUGAAAAACAUCACUAGUCAGCUGACGCGAGCGACUGUUAACAACGCUAACACCAAUUACUCACACCUGAGAGUCAAAAAGAAACGGGGAACAACAAAAAAUUUGUGAUUGACUGCUCGAGGGACUGGACACUAAUGAAACAAUCUCUCCCUUCCUAGUUCGCGCUGACAGGCGGAGAAAUGGAAGUGAAAAAGAAGACACCAAAUUACCAGGCGGCUUUAUCUGCGCACUUCCAGGUCUUCGUGGUCGGAUGAGUGACUUUUAUCCGGCAAUCAGCUCGAAAGAUGAAGAAAAUGGCAUUUUUUAACAGCCUGAGCUACAAUUUGAGGGAUGCAGCGAGAGGUUUGGAUGUUCUGUAUGGAUGCGACAGAGGCAGGCAGCCAAAGCAACGUCGGAUGAUGAGCAUGAGUGAGAUAGUACACUUUGAUAGUGAGGACAGCCGAUAUAUUCUGGCACCAGUCCAAGCAUGCUGAGAGGAACGGAUGACCUGCGUCAAAAAUGGUGCUGGCAACUGUAACAUCUGCGUAGGAGGCCGAAUGGUCCUUUGCAAGUGAAGAGCUGCACUCCACUGUUCCUACCUCAAACCAUAAAUGGAUAAGCAUAUGGACCCUGGCUUCAAGGAGAGCAAAGACUGCAGGAAUUAAUUCAAUCAUACUUUCACCGGGAUGGGGUAUAUGAACAAAUGGCACUGGAAUAACUGGAGGCUAUUUGAUGCUAGCCCACUACAUCCGACCCAAAGGUAUGCAUUUUCAUGAGGAUUUGAUGCUUUGUUAUUGCAGUUGUCCACUGGUCCUUGAUUGAUUUUGCCUCAUUGGCAUUCACAAUUUCCUGUCCUUUUGUAAUCGCCCUUAAAUAGAC
rnacentral:lncRNA from 1 species